CUUCGAGGGGACAAGCGUGCGCCGUGCCGGCGAGCGGCGAGAGGAGAGGAGAGGGGAGCGCACGCCGCCACAGAACGGCGAGGCCUGCCCGCACGAUACAUCCAACUAUACAGCUCAUGCAUCCAAGCCGACACAGGAUAUAAACAAAGGAAAUUAAAGCAUAUAUGCCACAUGAUUUGGAAUAUCAGGGUAAGUCACUGGAUCAGUUGUCUCUGUGGAAAAGCUCUCGUCAAUCAUCACAGUUGGGGUCCUGGGAAAAAAAGUGGUGGCAUCAGAUGUUGGUAUUCCAGGACAGAGGGCAUCUUCUUCCCUUUGUUUACCCUGGGGGCAGCUAGAUACCCUAGCAAUUUCAUUCAGAAAUCCAUCUUUGCUUCUCCAAUCCAAGAAGAAGCACGUUCAGUGUUGUCUGUGAUCAGUUUCUGAACGGAGCUUCCCAUAAUUGCACAGAUAAUUGCUCAGGUACAGGAAUAAUGAUUUGUCUGCUGACUGUCUCUGCCGUCAAUGGGAACACCGAUGAUCAUUGUACAGAGGGAGGCUUGUUGCCUGUGAACUUGUGUUUUUUAGAAUUUAGAAAUAUGGAAAAAGGCCUUGGAGGAGGAGACAAAAACAUUUGGAGUAUAGUAUUCCCCCAAAUGAGCUAGUCAAUGCAAGUAUUAUGGCUGGUUUCCUUGCCUGUCUGACAAAAGAAAAAAAGUUUAAUCCAUGAUUCCAUGAUUAGGAUUGUAAUGGCAUCCCUCCUGUGCCCAUGUGACAGCGGAUACUCUAUCCCCAAUUAAACAAGCGCGCGGCGAAUCAAAAGGCAUUGAUUGAUGAUUUUAUAAUCUGGUUUCCAGCUGAUCGUUUUUGUCCUUUGAUUCCCCAUGCAACGGAUCUCAUCCGUUCUGGAGGCUUGCAUUGUCUGUUGUGCUAUGCAUUUGUAUAUGUUUUUCUGGAGAUUUUUGGAGCAAUUAGCACAUCGCCGGUGUCUUUAUAGGAGCAUGACGCUGCAAUUAGCUAGCCGGGAAAAAGGAUUUUCUGGUGACAGCCUGACCUUCUUCUGCUUUGGCACAGGGGUGGUGGCGGCAGGAGCAGCAUGGCGAUUAGCAGCAGCAAGGCUGGCAUUAGAAGAUCACGGGAAAGGUGAGUUUGACAAACGAAACGGGGCAUCUUUUCUCUGGGGUCCCCAGAAAAACAUAGGUCCAGUACAGCACCCCCCUUCACUACAGUACAACACAAUAUACUACUGCCUCCUUUCUAAGACUUCAUUUUUAGAUAUCUUUAUUUGUCCUACAACGACUUUAUCUUUAGAGCAAUUAUUUCACUAGAGUUUGGUAAAGUGUGAGAUAAAUAUACUGUAAGUUAUAAAAUAAAAGAUAAACGCAUUUGGCCUAGAAAAAGAAGGAUAUUAGCGUUUUUAAACUAUGAUUGGUACGUGUGAGAUAUGUUAAAAAUGAAGUUUUUUUUUGAGUUGGAAAGAGUAUUAAGAUGCACA